UUCAUUCUGCGGCAGCCGGCUUUGGUCCCUCAGUCGUGGAGCCGCUACGGGGAAGGACGGGUGUUCCACUUUCCCUUGUCCUGUUCGUUUUUCUAUGGGCGAGACCUCAGGUAUUGGUUAUCUAUGAAGGCUGGUGAAGUGGAGUACGAGUUGGUCGAGAAGUGACAGUUGCAGAAGACAAAGUGAAAUUUGGUUGUGCCCUUGUAUGAAGUACCUCUACACCAUGUCACAAGUUGGUUGUGGCGCCUCCCUUUUUUAACUCAAUCAUUAAGUCAGACCACUCCUAUCCAUACACAAAGAAAGAUUUGAGGCACAUUUUGCAGUCCAGUACAUCUUACUUUUCUGUUCAUCCAUGUGUCUGCAGUGUUAAAAAAUGAGAGAGAACCCCAGUGUACAUCUGUAAGUUGGUUUCCAAGUUUGGCAGUCUUGUAAUCAGCACGAAGCUGAAUGAAGUUUGCCAGAACAUUGCGAUCCAAGCCACUCUGAAAAGCAUAAAAUGAAAAUGUUUCACCAGACAACUUUCUCAAAAUUUAGAAGUUCAUGUGCAGCUAUCAAUAGUUUCAGUAAGACAGCAAAUGUUGAGAGGAAACCCCCACCACCAAGCAAGAAGACUUACCAGUGGCACUGUAUUCAAACUUCAUGAGAUGGUCGAAGAUGGUGCGGUGGAACCUGAGGCCCAGCUCCAGCAGCACACUCUCCAAGUUGUGCCCAUCAAGGGAGUCCCGGAUGCGCUCCACCACCAGGUUGAUGUAGCGCACCACACGCUGGCAUGCCUGCAUCAGGGGACAGAACAUUACAGCAUUCAUGCAAUAAAUAUUCAUUCUAUA